UACGAAGGGGGCUAGCGUUGUUCGGAAUUACUGGGCGUAAAGCGUGCGCAGGCGGCUUCUCAAGUCAGGGGUGAAAGCCCAGAGCUCAACUCUGGAAUUGCCUUUGAGACUGAGUGGCUUGAGUACGAGAGAGGUGAGUGGAAUUCCCAGUGUAGAGGUGAAAUUCGUAGAUAUUCGCAAGAACACCAGUGGCGAAGGCGGCUCACUGGCCCGAUACUGACGCUGAGGCACGAAAGCGUGGGGAGCAAACAGGG
rnacentral:rRNA from 1 species